rnacentral:rRNA from 1 species
AGAGUUUGAUCAUGGCUCAGAACGAACGCUGGCGGCAUGCCUAACACAUGCAAGUCGAACGCUUAUCUUCGGAUAGGAGUGGCGCACGGGUGAGUAACGCGUGGGAACCUGCCCCGAGGUGGGGGAUAACCGAUGGAAACGUCGGCUAAUACCGCAUACGACCUGAGGGUGAAAGAUUUAUCGCCUUGGGAGGGGCCCGCGUCGGAUUAGCUAGUUGGUGGGGUAACGGCCUACCAAGGCGAUGAUCCGUAGCUGGUCUGAGAGGAUGAUCAGCCACACUGGGACUGAGACACGGCCCAGACUCCUACGGGAGGCAGCAGUGGGGAAUAUUGGACAAUGGGCGGAAGCCUGAUCCAGCAAUGCCGCGUGAGUGAUGAAGGCCUUAGGGUUGUAAAGCUCUUUCGGCGGGGACGAUGAUGACGGUACCCGCAGAAGAAGCCCCGGCUAACUUCGUGCCAGCAGCCGCGGUAAUACGAAGGGGGCAAGCGUUGUUCGGAAUUACUGGGCGUAAAGGGCGCGCAGGCGGCCAUUCAAGUCAGGUGUGAAAGCCCCGGGCUCAACCUGGGAAUAGCACUUGGGACUGAGUGGCUAGAGAUCGGGAGAGGAGAGUGGAAUUCCCAGUGUAGAGGUGAAAUUCGUAGAUAUUGGGAAGAACACCGGUGGCGAAGGCGGCUCUCUGGACCGAUACUGACGCUGAGGCGCGAAAGCGUGGGGAGCAAACAGGAUUAGAUACCCUAGUAGUCC